GACGAACGCUGGCGGCGUGCUUAACACAUGCAAGUCGAACGGAAAGGCCCUGCUUUUGUGGGGUGCUCGAGUGGCGAACGGGUGAGUAACACGUGAGUAACCUGCCCUUGACUUUGGGAUAACUUCAGGAAACUGGGGCUAAUACCGGAUAGGAGCUCCUGCUGCAUGGUGGGGGUUGGAAAGUUUCGGCGGGUGGGGAUGGACUCGCGGCUUAUCAGCUUGUUGGUGGGGUAGUGGCUUACCAAGGCUUUGACGGGUAGCCGGCCUGAGAGGUUGACCAGCCACAUUGGGACUGAGAUACGGCCCAGACUCCUACGGGAGGCAGCAGUGGGGAAUAUUGCACAAUGGGCGGAAGCCUGAUGCAGCAACGCCGCGUGCGGGAUGACGGCCUUCGGGUUGUAAACCGCUGUCGCCUGUGACGAAGCGUGAGUGACGGUAAUGGGUAAAGAAGCACCGGCUAACUACGUG
rnacentral:rRNA from 1 species